rnacentral:rRNA from 1 species
GGCACGCUUAACACAUGCAAGUCGAACGAGAUCUUCGGAUCUAGUGGCAGACGGGUGAGUAACGCGUGGGAACCUGCCCAGUAGUAGAGAAUAACUUGGGGAAACUUAAGCUAAUACUUUAUACGUCCUUUGGGAGAAAGCUUUAUGCGCUAUUGGAUGGGCCCGCGUUAGAUUAGUUUGUUGGUGAGGUAACGGCUCACCAAGGCGACGAUCUAUAGCUGGUCUGAGAGGAUGAUCAGCCACACUGGGACUGAGACACGGCCCAGACUCCUACGGGAGGCAGCAGUGGGGAAUAUUGGACAAUGGGGGCAACCCUGAUCCAGCGAUGCCGCGUGAGUGAUGAAGGCCCUAGGGUUGUAAAACUCUUUCGUCAGGGAAGAUAAUGACGGUACCUGAAGAAGAAGAUCCGGCUAACUCCGUGCCAGCAGCCGCGGUAAUACGGAGGGGUCUAGCGUUAUUCGGAAUUACUGGGCGUAAAGCGAGCGUAGGCGGAUUUGUAAGUUGGAGGUGAAAUCCCAGAGCUUAACUCUGGAACUGCCUUCAAAACUACAUUUCUUGAGUUUGGUAGAGGAGAGUGGAAUUCCUAGUGUAGAGGUGAAAUUCGUAGAUAUUAGGAGGAACACCAGUGGCGAAGGCGACUCUCUGGGCCAAUACUGACGCUGAGGUUCGAAAGCAUGGGUAGCGAACAGGAUUAGAUACCCUGGUAGUCCAUGCAGUAAACGAUGAGUGCUAGAUGUUGGGAAUUUAAAUUUCCAGUAUCGCAGUUAACGCGUUAAGCACUCCGCCU